GAAAAAAACCUAAAAAGGAAAAAAAAAACGGAAGAAUGAGAAAGAGUGUUAAAAAAAUAUUAUUAUAAUUUAAGAAUAAAUAAUUUAUAGAAAGGUUUUUUUUUUAAAUUGAUUUUUGUUUAAACACUUUAUGAAAAUAUCUCGAAAUAAAAAUACAAGUAUGUUUUAAAACAUUUUUAAAAAAAUUAUUUGUCUAUACAAGUUUCUUUCGUUUGUUAUAUAUACUAUAAAUGCUUUUAUUAAAAUUUGUUGAUAGAAGAGUUAGUUAUCAAAAGUAGACCGAUGCAAUCACCAAAAGUGGCAGUUACAUCGUCAAAGGUGGCCGUAAGAUUGGCCAGCAAAAAUCACCGAAAUUGAUGUCUGACCCUUGAUACAUCUACUCCAAAAUAACGAGUUAUUUUAACUCAUAAUCAUAAUCUUCAAACUAGAACUGAACAUUAUCCCAAACAAGGAUAGAUUAUUAUAGUCCACUAUACCCCUGGCUUCGAACAUGUCUAGUUUUUUUCUGCAUAUUAAAGAGUUGAUUAUAAUUUUUAGAAAAGAACAUUGAUAAAAUUUAAAAACUUUUGAUAUAAUUCACAAAUAUUUUAAACAGUUUCGCAAAUUUCAAUAAAUUUUCUUCUAGAUUCAAUUUUUCAAAAAAUGUAAAAACUAUAGUAUAAAUUUUGGAAAGGAACAAACCUAGAUUUCAAAAGCUAUCCAAGUAUUAAAAAAAGGCCUAAUCAAUUACAUAUCACAUACAAAUAUAACCAAUGUUAAAAUGUUACAAAGUAAAACAAAGAGGCCCAGAAUUAUAUUUCAAUAAUGUCAAACUACACAUCCUAGCCAUCUGAAGUCAUUGGCGACGGUUCAUAAUUAAGGUGACGAAAAAAGAAAACAAAAACAAAACUUCAGACGCCAUGGCCUUGUAGGUCAUAAAACUUCAAUAAGGUCGAAACUUUCUAGCAGCUCUCAGUUGUUGUAUCCGUUUCCUGUCUUGCUCGAAUUUACUUUGCAGCAUCAUAACCUCUGCAACAAAUAAGAUAUUCACGUGUCACCCUUCUGUUUUUUUCACUAAAAAAAAAUUCAAAUCCACCGGUAACCAAUCACCUUUUACAAUAAAUUCACAAAUGACAUAUUUAUAACAUCCCAAAUUUAUCAAUGCGAUGACAGAUCCCUCCAAUGUAGCAGCUAUAUAUUAGGCACACUCCCAAUAGAAAGAUCCAUCCUUAAACCGACAUACUUGGGUAAUAAAACAAAUAAAUCAUGCAAAAUACAGAAGCUCAAGGAAAAUAAUAGCUAACACAUUGCACAACAUGUUUAAAUGAAUAAAGGAUUAGGCAAUGACACUGCAAACACAAUCCUUGCUCGAAUCAUCACUUCAAUUAUUUUCUCCAGAAACAAUAAAUAGCUGGUCAAAAGAUCUAUAAGCAUUUUAGGAAUCCAUGAUUAUCUGUGAUUGGAAAGCACUUGUUAAGUAGUUUUUCCUUGGGUAGAGAUUCCCUCUACCUUGCCCUAUAGGCUAUGUUUUGUUACCUUUUUGUUAUAAAGUUUCUUUUCGGCUCAUCUAAAUAGUAUAUAAAAAUCAUUAUAGGAGUAAAAUGGUUCAUACCAUUCCUCUGUGCUUCUCUUCUUUGAAAUCGAUAGAAAUCCAACCCAACUUCAUUCUUCUUCUUUUUGGACAUUUUAUCCCCUAAAGAAUUUUGCGCUACUGAACCCACAGUAACCCCACUUUCAGCAUCUGUGGUCUUCUUCCUCCCCUUCUGAUGUACAACCACUGUCCAUCCUCCUUCAGCAGCUUGAGCUUCCCUUUCCUUCUUUUCCUGUGUCAACAAAAUGAGAGCUUAAUUCACAAGGCUAACCACACACAUCUGAUACAGGAUUCAAUGUCUAUGAACUAUGAUCAUCUGGCAAACCAAUCCGAUAUCGGUAAAAACAAGUAAAACAUAUUGUUGCAAAUAAUCGAUUGUUAAGGGUGGGUGUGCUUGGGUUAAGUUUUCAAGGAUUUAAUUUUGAAAAUAAGUCAUUUUAGAAAAUAUUUGAAUGUUGGCAACCACUCAAAAUAGUUUUUGAAAAGAGUUUAUUUCAAACAGUUCGUUAUCAUAAGAAUUUAAAUGAAAAUGACUCUUCGAAAAACAAUUUUUUUUCUUCCAUCGACGUAAACAAGCCCUAAGUAACCCUCAACUCAACCGUUCAACAUCUUUUAAGUUAUUUUGGUACAUUUCAUCCUAAAAGGAAAUAUAGCUCUCAAACACAUAAUCAAAACUCAUGAAAUCAGUUUCAGAGGCUUCAUCAUAAUGAAUGAGAAUGCACGGGAUAAAGUUAAGUUGUCACUGUUCAAGUGGGCAUAUUACCUGUUCUAGCUGUGCCUCAUGUGCAGUUAUAUAAUCAUCUAUUCGCUGUUGCAGUACAUUCAAGCCCGGUCUACUUUUGUGAUAUUCUGUAAUCCAUCCUGUAGAUAAUAAAGUUCAGAAUGUGAAAUUUACAAAAUCCAACACAAUAUGAUACAAGCUCCCUAAAAACAUAACACACACACGCCAAUGCUUCAAGUAAAAUGAUUCAGCAAAAGUAAAAGAGAACUCAGAAGGUUCAUUUCCAAGCAACAGGAGAGGUAGGGCUAUUACAAAUGUGGCAGUAAGAAGAAAGAACAAGCACAAAUUUUGACAUUAAGCAGGAAGACUGAGCAGCAUUGAUAUAAAAUGAUAUCUUAUGCCCGUAAUUCUUACUUUUCAUUCCCUUUGAAGAGUCAUCAUCUCCAGAAGAGAUUUGAUAGACAUCAUUUUCAUCAAUAUCUUCAUGUAAUUCUGUCGAUCCUUUGGCAUCUAGAGAACUAGAGUCCUUUCUUUUCUUUUUGGAAGAUUUCUUGGCCUUACCUACAAGAAAAAUUUUCUGCUUGUAAGUCAGUUCAAGAGAAACUUUCUAGUAGUUGAACAUGCAUCAGUUAAAAUCCAUUCAUAUUUUUUUAUACCUUUCAAGAAUGCACCAUUCUCAAAGGGCUGACAAGCUUCCAGCUGCAUAGCUCUUCCAUUUUCUAACGAGUUGUCACAAUCAUUAGAGGAUUUUCGGUUCUUUUUAUUUUUCCUGUCUUUCUUCAGUUUAUCUGCAAAGAAUAUUACCAGUUAUGUCUCCAUAGACUCCCAAGUUAUUGUGUACAGCAACAGUAACAUUAACCAAGCCGCAAGAGAGGUUGAGGCAGUUUUAAGUACCAGACUUCUUGGGCUUUUCAGCAUCUUCUCCCUCCACACCGAACUGAUCAGAAUCUGCAUUGACUACAGUUAAGCCUUACAUAGCAGGAUGCAAGUUAAUAAGUUAUAUGAUAGGGAAAAAUCUAGGGAAAGAAAAUAAUGAAGAGAUAGGGCAGAAAUACUUUACAAGCAAGCAAAAAUUGAGAACAAAAGGGCAAUAUGAAAAUAAAUUAUUAAAGAGACUUAAAACAAGGAGCUACAUACACAAGAAGCUAACUCAAAAAAAGAAACGUAAAAAUAAAUAAAAGGAAGGGAUAAUAAAACAGAAUAAUUAAAUAACUCCUUGAAUACAUUAUCAAAGAGACACAAAGAACUUAUCCCAGGCUCAUCCCUUCAAUAACUUUGCUAAUUCAUUUCAUGGAAAAUGUUGCAUAGGGAAACAAGAAUGUGAACACCCAAAAAUUCCCUAGUCUUGAAGAUGCACUAAACAAUGUCACUCAGGACAGCGAUGUCUUGAGAAUAUCCUCAAAAGCACUAGUACACAAAAUGUAACACCAAAAUCCCCCAAGGGAAAAUAAGACAUCUUCUUGACUAACUUUUCUCUUUGAAAGUGAACUUUUACAUAACCGCAUGUUUUUAAUUAUUUGAAAAAGCGGGGAGAAAAACUCAACCCUACAGGAGAUGUCCAAACACUACCUUACAAACAAACUCCAAUUUGAAAGAACAAGACCAUAAAAUCCAAGAGAAAGACACACACAAAGAGGCAUUCAACCAAUCUAACAAUAUCCCUGCUACUCUGCUGAUAUUAGUAUAAGUGUAUUAUAUAUUGUCCUUUAUCAUCCUUUUGUAUUCAACUAUUUAGGAUAACCUUGUGAUUAUUAGUUAGCGGUCAUUCUUUUUUAUUGGGGUCGCUUUCUAUAGUUCCCUUAAACACCCUUUGUUAAAUAUUUUUCUGUAAGCAUUUGCAUGAACAGUAUUUCUCAAUCGAAGCUCACAUUCUUAAAUAAAAAGACCACUCAUAAAACACACUACACACAUUAUCCAACUCUACUUUAUCAAAUUGCUGAAUUUUCCUACACAAAUAUCAAAGCAAAGUUGUAAAAGUGCACAAACUUUAUUACCCUCAAAACUAAAAAUCAACUUCCUAUUCUCUUCCAAGUUCCAAUAUGAAAAGGGCCUCUAGACUUUCUUAAAUCCUCAUCCAAAAUGGGACACCAUUAUAUAGCUUCCAUUCUUCCACAAAGGAGCAUGUAGUGAAAAAAAGUAGAGAAGAGUAAGACUACUUUCUCCCUCACCAGUUUAGUUCCCACUCUGAGAGCAAAACAUAACAGAAAUGUUGCAACACCCCUUGAAAGAAGGGGGUAAGAAGUUUUUCUUGGUCCAAAGGUAGGUUCUCUCUCCCUUAUUUCUCUCCUCUCCUCUCCUCACCUCCCCGCCCUUCCACCAUCCUUCUGAGCUUCUUUUUCAGUGAAUCUUCUAAGCAAGCCUUUCAACCAGACCCAAUUCUGACAUGGAAAUAGAGAGCUGUAAAGUAGUCGAGUUCUUUUACUGUGGCACGAAAAUGAACUUUUUUGUAAUUGAAGACGUAGAUUUAGAAAGAAAUUCUUCAAGCAAGAGACCCCAGUUGAGUUGGUUCAUUGAUGCCAUCUCUGAGCUAGUUCAAGAACCAGAAAGGAGAUUCUUCCAAAAUAACGACAAGGGCAAGAAUGGAGCUACAAGACUGUCAAAAUCCUGAGCACCAUCAGGCUGGGUUUUAAGAUGCGUUGUCUGAUCAGCCACUGGAACUCAGUCAUAUAUCACGUAGAUUCGGGAAAAGACAAACAAGGAUGGCAUUCUUUCUUAAAAUGAUAAAAAGCUUCGUAAUGAAAUAUGAUUACAUGUCUUGGCGAACGUCCACCCAUCAACGAUUGGGAUAAAUACUAGAAGAGGAAUAAUUAUGACACUCGGAAGGAAGAAAUACUUAAUGGGGCGUGAUUUGAUCCAAGUAGUGGAAUUGUGAACUCGAAGAAGUUAUGGAGUUUGGAAAGUUGUGAACUUCUAAAGCCCACAUUCUAAAGAGUAACAAGGUACAAAUUCUAUGUGUUAUUUUACUAAUGGUACCCACAAACUCCUAGGGCCAAACAAGGAGAGGAGUUGACAAUUCACUCCCCUCAACUCCUAUUCACCCGACUCUUUGGACCAAACACCUUCCUAAGUUAAAAAUUGUAAUUGAGUCCAUAAGAAGGUGUUCUAUAACUUCUGUUCUAGUCCAUUUCAAGAUAACUGAAGGAGUAAUGUAAAAAUAAGCAAUAAUGUAGCUCAACUGGUAAAUCUAUUCUUGACCAAGUGGUCUACUUCAUAUAUUGUUCAACUCAAAAGAAAUAGUAAACAAGGUAGCAAGCAGAAACAAACCCUUUACAACCGCAGGCUCAAUGUUACUCUCGCGAAGCCUUUUGUCGCGCUUCUUCAUCCGUCUGUCCUCACUCUGCGCCAGAAGUGACCAAGGAACAAAUUAUUUAUUUAUUAUUUAUUAUUUAAAAAUAAAAACAUCGAUGCUGUGACUUGGAAAUACACUUUUAGUUCUAAAAUUUGUGACUUUUUAUCAGGGAAAAUGGUAUACAAAAGGGUGGUGGUGGAAAAUUCAUGGCGGGAGGUGCUUAGUAGGUUUAGGAGACUAGAAGAACGCAAUUUUCAGCAGAGACCAAUGAGAUAUAGAGAUUAUGAACGCCUAAAUCGACAAGCAAAAGUAAUUAUUUAAAUAAUAGAGAGUAGCACGCAGCAGUUCGGGAAGUCCCAAUUUGCCGCUAGGCUGGUUAUCCUUUUUUUUGUUCGUAGCUAUUGUUUGAAUAAAACAAUAUCAACUGCUCUUUCCUUUCGUUAGAUAAGUUCUAAUCUGUGUAAUUAUAUAGAUGGAGAUUGGGAGAAUACCAGUACCAAAAAAGAAAAGAAAAAUCAGUCCACACCUGCUAGGAGAGAAGCUGCGACGGAAAAAUGAAUACAAACAACGGCGCAAUGGCGGCGUCACUGAGAUGCUGAAACGGAGGAGAAAUCGUGGAGAAGAAGAAGAAAGAGUGAAGAACCGAGCACGUACGUCAGAAGAAAAGUAAGAAAGGGUUUAGGGUUUUCCAAUUUCUUCUUUUUUUUUUUCUUUUUCUUUCAAGUUAGAACGGUAGACAGCUCAUUAGGGUGACGCAUGCACGAUUAUAAUAUUUUUAUAACAGUAAAUAUUAUUUUAAAAAAUUUAAUUAACUACGACGCUAUUUUAAAAACUCAUUUGCUAUAAUAUUAUGAGACGCAUUCUUAAAGUUAAACAUAUGGAACACAACUAAAUGUAAUUUAAAAACUUUGAACCAUUAAUCAUUACCGUGUAAACUUGAGAGUAACAACACAACUCUUAUUUAUUUAAAUCCAAAAAUUUCUACAAACAAUAUACAAAUUUUCAAAACAAGAGCUUAACAAAAAAAUGUCAAAAGUCUUCGCAGCUUUUCGCUUAGCUCUUCAACUCAAUUGCUUAGCUCCUCCAACUAUCGCUCAACCCUGAUCGCUUACCUUUUAACACGACCGCUUAGAUACCUAGACGGUUGCUUGGUACCGAUAGCUUACCUUUCAACUCAAUCGCUUACCUUCUAAAAGCUCAGUUAGCUUUUUACAGCCUAGGGUGAAAAAACUUAAAACGUAAGUUUAUGACUUAAUGAGUGAAGUUUUAAGAAAAUAUUUUGAAAAAUACAUUUCAUAAAAGCAUUUUCAUCUCAACAUUGGUUCAACACCCCAUUUUCAAGAAAUCACAAUUGUAAAACACACAUUAGUCUUCUACAUUCCUUUCCACCAAGAACCUAAACCAUUCAUGUGCAUGGACACUGUGAUGGCCUUCUUAAUAACAAAAUGCCUGAGAAUUUUCUGGUUCAUUUUCUUGUUGCUCAGGCUUCCUAAGCUGACGCAAUACACAUUUUUUAUGCAUUAUCUCGCCUCCAUCCACAGACCUUUUCUACAUGGAUGUCUUUACUCAUUAUGUGUACAUAAUAGCUAGCUUAUUGAUAGAAAUAUAACAAACAUACUAAAAAUAUGAACUUUAACUUAAAAACAUAACAUUAAAACAUGAACUUUAACUUAAUAAAAUAACAUUAAAGCUUUCUUUCAAAUCAUGUUUUUGUGUAAACAUAAAAUACGCAUUACAUGACUCAUGAAAUAUGAGACUUAGAAAGAAAAACUUUAGAAUAUGAGUUCAUUUGAAAAUCACUCAUUGUACUAAGUUUCAAUUACUUUUUUUUGCUCAAAACUCUUAAGAAUCCCUGAUCUUCUUCUCAUUUAACAACCUCACCCUUUUCUCUUAGUAAAAAGCUCAUUUAAUAGUCUUUUCUUUCGAUCUUACUUUCUUAAUAAUACUAAGUCUAAGUUGGAUUAGUCAUUCCUUAAAUCCAUAUAAUCUUGUCAACUCUUGCUUAACUAAAUUCUAAGUUUUCGCAUGCUACGACACGUGGAAUUCAUUCCAUUGAUCUUAUAAUUAUAAUCUUGAGAACCUCUUUAAACCUCCUACAUGAUCGCUCACCCUUUUAAAUAAUCGUUCAAUCUCUUACAUGACCCUUUAGCCUUUUUAUAUGAUCAUUUAGUUUUUUUAUACGAUCAUUUAGUUUUUCGAACGAUCGUUUACUUCUUAUACUAUCGUCUAACUUUCUUACACGAUCAUUUAACUUCCUUCGGGAUCGUUUGCUAUCUUAUACGAUUGUUUAACAAAAUAUUUUUCAAAACUUUCUAUUCAUGCACGAGUCUUCCAAAUAUUUACUAUAUUUUACAAUUUUUACUAUUUGGCCUUCAUCAUUUUUUAUUCUUCAGUACAAUGUUUCCUAUUUCCUUCUCAAACUAAAAUAAUUUACCCCACAAACAUGUAUUAUUAUAACUCAAACUAAAAUAAUUUAUGCUCCAAACACAAACUAACUGAACUAUAAUAACCAAUAAUUAUAAUAACUCACUCCUUAGCCCCAAACACCCCCUUAGUUUAUAGGGAUAGACAAUCAUAUUUUGAUUUUUUUUCAUUUGAGAAAACCAUGUUUUAUUUUACUUAUUUUAAAUAAAUAACCCACAUUUUGAAAUUUAGAAACUAUAACCUAGUUAAAGAAAUUUUUUUAAAGGACAAAACUACUAAACAAAAAUAAAUAGUAGUUUAUCACGAUUUAUCGUUGAAAGGCUUGUGUUUUAUCAUAUUUUUAAACAUUUGUGUUUAUUUUUCUAUAUUUAAAAUUAAAAAAAAUUGUAUCAAGUGAUAAAAAUAUUUAGAAAAAAAUAGUUUAUGACACUAUUUUUUACAUAUUGCAAAUAUGGCAAAAUUAGUGAUAUAUCAUAGGACUAUUAGCUUUCAAAUUUGUCACUUUUGUAAUUUAAAACAUGGACUCUUUUAUCAUAAAUUUUUUUUUGCUAUUUUUAUAAGGACCCUUGAUAACCCAAAAAAAACUUUGGAGGUGAAAGCAUAAAAUAGAAAUAUAACUAACAAAAUAAAGUCUUAAACAAAUAUUACAAACAAAAUUGUAUAGUUGUUUAGAUAAAACAGAUUCGUAUAAUAAAAAGUAGAUGAAUGAGGGCAAAGUCUAUAUUUUUCAAUGAAAGGAGAUUACAUAUCAUAGUUACAUUUUAAUAGAAAAUGAAUGAUGGGAACGUAAAUGUGGUAGCAGAUGCUAAUAGCACCUCAAGUGUGCUAUCUUCCUCUUUUUAAUUCUAUAUUGUUCUCUAGUUUAACGUGCUUAAUUGAUUAUAUUCUAAAGGAACUUAGUGUCCAAGAAGUAGAAUUGACCGUUACAGAUUAUUUAGGGUUAAUCUGAAGCAAUUAGGAGCUAAAAAAAGAAAUCAGACUUCAAAUGAGAAAAGAAGGCAAAAAUGCACCUGAAGAACAAUGCAGCAGCAGUGCCAGACUCCGCGACAUGCGACAUGAGAUUGAGAUGCUUCAAAAUUGGUGAAGUGUCAUGGUGCUUCAAACUUAUAUGGACAAAAAGCACGUGAAGCGCAACACUACCGCUUUGAUAAGAGGUGUCGAGCAUCGCAGGUCUCAAGUGAUUUCUAUGUCUACUUCUCUUAGGUUCAUAAGUCAUUUUAUUGCUCAACUUCAAGGCUUCCAGCCCCUUUUCUCUCUCUUUUCUCUUUCACUUUCAAUUUUUGUGUUCACCUUUAAUUAGUUGAGUAGAUGUUGGGGUUGUAGCUUCUCGUUCUCCAUGGAAAGAUAAGAUUUUGAUUUUUUAACUUAGGGAUUUGGAGGAAUCCUUAUAGUUUUGUGGGGAAAAUAUUUGAAAAGAAUUAAAGAUGGGCAAAAAGUAAUUAGGUAGAAAAAAGAAUGUACAGAUCCAAGGAUUGAUUUAAAAAUGAACUUGGACGAGCAUGUAAAGAACAUUAGAGGUUGAAAUAGGCAUGUCAAGGUCAAAGUCAAAAUUUUGGAAAAGGGUGAUUUUGAAACUAUUUAGGUUAUUUUGAUAAUUUUUUAGAAAAUUAUUGAUUGCAUAAAUGUUUUUUCACUAUUAAGGGGUGUUUGGAGCAAAAAGUGAGUUAUAAUAGUUUGUGGUUAUUAUGGUUUGUGGGUUACAAUAGUUCUGUGAGCUAUUGUAGUCUAUAUUUAGGGUGUAUAAUAUUAUAGUCUAGGUUAAUAUAGUACGUCUUUGGGGUGCAUAGUAUCGUAGUCUGUGUUAUUAUAAUUUGUGUUUGGGGUACAAAUUAUUGCUUGUUUCGUAAAUGCAACGGUUGUUCGUGGAUAUGUCAUGUUAAGCUCUAAUUGAGCAACCUUGUAGGCGACUAGAAUAGGAUGGUGCGAUAAAGGAUGCAAUUCCUAUCUAUGCGUUGUUAAUUUUUUCAUGAUAUGCAUGUAAUACAAGUUUUCCUCACUAUCGUUCAAGUGUAAGUAAAGAGAGGUUUCCUGGUAAGUACAUGGUCGAACUCAAGGAUUUAAUGUUUCAAUUGAAUCUAUCACGUUGCUAAACCUAUACAGUAUAUUCUAUAACAAUGUGAAUAUGAAUAGUAUAUUUCUAUAUCUUAAUUAUAUACAUUAAGGUGCAAUUGGUGGUGUAAGGUGAUUAUGGCGAUGGAGUGUGAUGGAAAGUGAACUCAUAUUGUAGGCAUGGCAUGAAGGAAUAUUUAAUUUACUAAUCACAAUGUAUUGUGCAUUAAUAUUUCGAGGCUAUACAAAACAUCUAUUAACUUUAGAAUUAAGGCGAGUGACCUCUCGACACCUUCGUCAUACUUGCUCACCUCUUGGGAUCCAAAUACUUAAAGUUAAGAUAUGAGUUGUACCUAAUCAAUUUUUAUGCAUCACAAGUAAUUUAUUAUAAUUUAAGGUGAGCAACCUUUCAGUGCUUUCGAAGCACACCUUAACAUUUCUUCAACUUAUGCAAAGGAUGAGCUCGGCGAUGAGAGUGUAUUGCUACAACCUCUUCCUCACUCGCUUAGUUAAACAUGGUCUCUCACUUGUCAGUCGAUUUCCACCAAUGCGAUUGUCUUUUCUCUCAAAUAAAUAAUAUGCUUGAUGGCCACGUUUUACUAAACAAAACUUACGACAAGACAUACAUUCAGAUUUUCUAUUAUUAAUAACACAUUGUAUUGCUCAUAAAGUAAUUAAAUGCAUUGAAAGUGAAUAGCACAAGAGAAAUGGGAGAGUGGUAGAAGAAAUGCAUUAAUAUUAUAAACAUAACCUUGGGCUUUUCGGUCAUAGAAUACAUUUUACAACUCAAUACAAUAAAACUAUAAAAUGGAGUACAAAGAUAUAAGUCAUGCCUCGGAGUGUGAUUUCUCAUACUCUUUAGCUCUAAUUUUUGUCUGUUUGAUGAGGGAAAAAUGGUGGUAGAAUAACUCUCUUUUUUUGUUUUAAGCUCUCACCUAAAACUUAAGAUAGAAAGAAUGGAAGAUAGAAUAAGCUUGCUCUCCGGUCCAGUUUCGCACAUUUUGAUAUGAAGUGAAUGCCUUUAUUUAUAGGCGGGGAGUGAUGUUGACAUGACAUUCCACGCCUCAUAAAUACUGCUAAUUAAGUUGUAUCAUCGUUUUCUUGUGUUUUCUUGCAUUUCACUACUUUUUCUUGUGUUUUCUUCCAUUCUAAUGUGAUAAGGCUUCAUUAUUUUACAUAAAAUGCUACAAUGACUUGUAUUUCUACAAGUUAUCAAUCAAAAUUACUAAGUGAGAUGUAUCAACAUAUUGCAUGAAUAUUAAAAAUGAUAGCAUGCCAUAGUGUUUUGACAUCAAGUAGUACAUAAAAGUGUAGAUAAUAUUCAUAUGGAGCUUUAGAAAAUGACAAACACACGAUAAGAAGAUUGACCAUGAAUUUUUUUCUUAAGUGGUGCAAUUAUUUAAUAAAAAAAACCAUGUUAUGGUUUUUCUUCAGUGUGUUGAUGUGGAAGAACCAAAACAAAUUAUGACAGAGAUUCAUGAAAGAAUAUGUGGAGCAUAUGCUAAUGGACAUAUAUGACUAAACAAAAACUUAGAUAUGGUUAUUAUUAGACAAUGAUGGAACUAGACUACGUAAAAUAUGCAAGAGAAUGUAAAAAGUGUCAAAUUUAUAUGAAUAAAAUUCAUGUGCGGCAUCUCCAUUGCAUGCUUUGUCAACACCCUGGCCUUUUUCUUUGUGAGGAAUAAAUGUUAUUGGACCCAUUGAUCAUAAAGCCUCAAAUGAUAAUCGCUUUAUUCCUGUGGUAAUUGAUUAUCACUAAAUGGAUAGAGGUGACAUCUUAUUGCAAUGUUACAUGAGGAGUAAUGCUCAAGUUUAUGAAGAAAUAGUUUAUUUGUUGUUAUGGUCCCCUAAAAUGUAUUAUUAUAGAUAAUGUCAAGAACCGUAAUAAUAAAAUGAUGGUUGAACUUUAUGAACGAUUUAUAAUCAAUCAACCAAAUUCAACUCGAUCCAUAUCAUCCAAAGAUGAAUGGGACAACUAAGGCAACCAAUAAAAAUAUUAAAAGAACAUUGAGAAAAGGACAAAAACUUACAAAGAUUAACAUGACAUUCUGCCAUGUAGGCUGCACAAAUAUUGCACGUCAAUUAGCGCUUCAAGAGAAGCCACACCUUUUUCUUUGGUUUAUGGUAUGGAAGUUGUCCUCCCUUUAGAAGUUGAGAUACCUUCAAUGAGAGUUCUCAGAAGUUAAGUUAGAUUAAGUUGAAGGGAUACAAGGUCAUUAUGAGCAGUUGAAUUUUGUUGAAGAAAAAUUGUGGACAACAUUAGGCCAUGGACAACUUUACCAAAAAGACUAAUGCGAGUAUACAAUAAGAAAGUGCACACUCUAAGCUUUCAAAAAUAAUAUUUGGUGUUAAAAAAGAUAUUUCCAUUUCAAAAGGAUCAUCAAGAAAAAUGGUCUCCUAAUUAUGAAAUUUUGUCCAUAGUGAAAAAGUUUUUUCAAGAGGAGCUUUGCUUUCGACCAAUAUGGAUGGCGUUGAGUUAAAAGUCCUAGAGAAUUAACUAUGUUUGAAGAUAUUAUGCAUGAAACAUUUUCUUCGACGGUUUUGUAGUGUUGAAAGAGGUCAUAGUAUUUCUUCAGAAUUUCUCUCACCCAUUCUCUUUGUACUUCUAUUCCAAAUGUAGUUCCUAUCUUUUAGUGUCGUUUUUUAUUAUAUUUUUAAACAUAUGUUUAUUUGUCAAUCAUUUCUUUUAUUUUUCCUAAAAUGUUACCAAACUAUAGUAAACAACCAUGAAUUCAUCAAUUUAUUAUUCUAGCUAUUGUUAAUUAACAAGGAUCCAAUACAACUUAUUGUAUUUGCAAACCAAGUAAAAGCUAUGAUUUUCUUUUGUUAAAAUUGGAGGAAAUAUAGGUAUUUACAAGUUAAGACAAAAUUUUCUAUGAUUGUUAGAUGUCGCAAAAGGAAGUUUACAUCCUAAAAAGUUCACGUUUUGAGACGUCCAAGACUAAGACAAAUUUUGGUCUUUACAACAUUGUGUAGUCUUCUGAAGGUUUGAUUUGUUUGUUUGAUAUAAAGGGUGACAAAAUUGGCAGCUUAAAAAGCUUUCAUGAUACGUGUGUUUUGUUUUAUCCUAUGACCAAACUAAUCUAUUAAUAAGAUUGGUAAAACUUUGAGUAGUGAGCAAUUUACUUAUUUGAAAAUUACAAUAUUUAUUUUAAUUUUAAAUUAAAUUUAACCUAAUCCAAAGUAGGACGAGUCCACCUAUAUUUCAAACCUAGUCUUAGAGUUGUGGUUAAGAUCAUCUUUACCAAACCUAGCUUAAGAGCAAAUGUUAUUGUCUUCUUAAAUUCAGUUAAAUCGAGCUCAGUUCUUAAGUUGAGGCCGAAACUUAUCCUAUCAGGUUCUUUAUUUAUCAAACCUAGUCGUGGAACUAAGGUUGUUGUCUUCUCGAGCUCAGUUCUAAAGCUGGGUCAAAGUUUGUUUAUCAAGUUAAUUAUUCAUCAAACAUAACUCUAGGGCUAAUGUUGACAUCUUUUUAAAUUUGGUUAAAUUGAGUCUGGGUAUGAAGCUGAUGUCGAAGCUUGUCUAUUAUGUUAAUUAUUAAUCAAAUCUAGCCCUGGAGAUAAAGAUGAUGUCUUGUUAAAUUUGGUUAAAUCGAGUCUAGUUUUGAAGCUAGGGCCAAAUCCUAUCCAUCAGGCCUUUUAUUUAUCAAACUCAUCCUUAGAGCAAAUUUUGAUUUCGUCUCAAAUUUCGGUCAAAUCAAACUUGGUUCUAGAACUGAGGUAAAAGUUUAUAUCUAUCAUGUCCAAGAGUUUUUUUAACUGAGGCCCGAAGCUGCGCUUGAUAUCCUUGUUCAUUUGAUAGUUUGUUUUUUUUUAUAAAAAUAAAAUAAAAUAAAAUAAAAAAAUAUUUCAACCCCAAUCUUUAUCAUCUCCUUUGUCUAACUUCAAAUGUUUUAAGGAUGCACAAAGGGACAAACUAUAGAUAUCAUAUCUUCCUUUUAUUUUAUUUUAAAGAUUUUUUUCAAAAAAUAGAAAAAAUGACGAACUAUUUACACUUCAUAGAACAAAACCAAGUAAAUUUUAUUACAAUUGAUUUUGUAAAUAUUUUUGUCAAAUGUUCUAUUUUUCACAAUUUAUCUUUAUUUUGUUUUAGGAAAACUUAAUUUAAAUAAACGAAAAAUAAAUUUGAAUUUAACUUUUAAAAAAACAAAAAAUAAAGGAUGAAACAAAUUUAUCCUAAUCUCACGUUUUUUCACCAUUCCCUUACUUUUCUCAAUUAUUUCCUCUAUAUUUCUCUCCACCUUCUCUCCCACUAUUUUUUCUAUCUCUCUUCACCAUUCUUCCACUUUCUCUACACUCAUAGCUAUCCUUUCUCCACCCUCUAAAAAAAUCUCGCUUUCACACCAAAUUUUCAAUACGUUUUUAAUUGUAAGGGUUAAAAAAGGGGAAACAAGGAAACUUUUCAACCAAGUUAAAAUCUCCAAAGGUUGGGGGUUAAGUUGGAACUAUGGUUGUUCGCCUUCAUUCAUAAACUUGUUUGCAAACUUUCGGCUAAAGCACUCGAUUCACCUAAAAUUGAACUUCUGCACAAUUUAAAAACCGACAUUAAAGGCCAGAUUUCUUCUAGUGUUGUGAACUCUUUGGUCCUUUUGGACCUCCUUUUGGCCCAUACAGGCCUUCCUUCUGGUCCAUACAGGUCUCCUCCUUCUUAGUAGAGAUGAAGUUCUUUUAUAGGCAGCUUUCAGUGAAAAAUUCUAUUAUUCCUUAUCAUUUUAGCCCUAAUAGCAGUCUUAUCACAUCACAUCCAUCUUCAACUACCAUCCUUGUCGUCUAGUGAAUCUUCCUCACGUGAUGAUGUGGUUCCUUGUCUAGAGGUGUUAGUCCCCAAACGAGUUUCCAUCAUGUAGCCUUUGCGCGAGAUGUUCCCUGUGAUUCACUAGUUUCUCUUUUUCUAUUCAUCUUGCGUUAGGACGUGGAAAUCACGUAAAACAGGAUAAUACUUAUGUAACAUGUAUUUCUAAAUACUUAUGAAUUUACAAGAUAAGUUACGCAUUUUGAUCCUCUUCUUAUGCGUUUUGGCCUCAUUAUUCUAAUAAAAGAGCUCAUAAUAACUUGUAUUUAUUGAAGUUAUCGCUCUCCUUAUUUUCUCGAGAAGCAACAAACAUUUACUUCCUUAGAGGGUUGUCUAGUCUUGUCAACAGAACACCUACUUCCUCGCUACACUUCCUUAAAUGUAGGUUAUUCUCCCCACAUUAUUAUGUUAAACGUCUAACCUUGGCGUCCAAUGCAAGCUUCUUCCUUGUCAGCUAUCCUUGUUACGGUCGUUUACUUUCAUGUGAUAGAACUUUGACUUAAGUAUUUUUCUUCGUAUCGCCUGUUCUCUUUUCUCAUCCCUUCUCGUGGGAUGUUUUAUACUUAUCCAAAAAGAGUAAGGCUCUUUUCAAGAGAACUCCCUUUCUCUAGAUCAAGGCCUAACACCAACUAAAAUUUGGGCCACUUUUUGAAUGCGAAUGAAAAAUGGUCUUCUACUUGUGUCAUCACCAUGUGAAAUUACCCAUUUGACCUUAAAUUCAAUCCGCGUCUCCUAGGACGGUCACUUGUUACUCACUACAGGAUACUCAUUACUUGCUACUCGAAGCAUGAUACUUGUUUCACUUAUUAACAUAAUAUUACUUUAAUAGGCAUACUUGCUAAUAUAUUAUCAAUCCUCGAUAGUCAUUAUAUUUUAAUACGUGUAUACUUAAGAAAUCAACGUUCAUUUUUUUGUGUUACCUCAAAACCUAUUUCUCUCUUCCUCGCUUUUGUAGAACUUUUUAGUUGUUCUAACUCGUGAUCUUCGUUCCAUCUUCUUAGGUUUAAAUUCAAUUAGUAUUUGAUUCUCUCUUCAACAGGUAAGAAGCCCAUCAAUUUGAAUGUUAUCUCCUCGUGUGCAUGUGACUGUCUCUUGACACUUGACAUUCAAAUCAUACACAUUUCAAUUUUGUUUUCUAUACCAUGUACUACCAUUGAUUUCAAUUUUCACACACCUUUCUAGUUUGUCCUCUAAAAAGAAACUAGGGUGUAUAGUUUUGAAUCUACCUUCAAUAAUGUCAAGCAUAACGAGUGUUGAGUAUCAUGUACUGUAUACUUAAUGGCUAGUAUGUGUGUCAAUAAUAUCAAGUAGAUUACAUCACGUAAAGUGUAAAUAGCAGCGAGGGUCAUGUAACGAGCAUUUAGUAGCAUGUAGCAUGCAUCAAGUAUCAAAACUUUCUUAAUGUUUCUUAUUUUUUUUUCCACGUUUUUAAAUGCAGUAUGACUAGACAAUUCAAUAUUCUAGUCAAGGAAUUGAUUUCUAUUGCCAAGCCACCAACUUGUCCUCUUACAUUGGUGCAUAUAACAAGAUCGUGAAGGAGAAACUUACAUUUGAUUUAUUAAAAAAGGCAAUAUUUGGGUGAUUUCUAAACAUGGACAUAAUAUUUAAUAGCCCACUGGUGCACUACAUCCUGUUGAGGAAGAUGAAAGAUGAUAGGACAGAUGGUAUGACAUUCGCUUUGAAUGGAGCCAUUGUUUGAUUCAUAAAGGAGGAUUUCCUAUUAGUGUAGGUUUGUGACAAAAACUGAUUCAGCUUAUGUUUUUAGAAGUGUUGAAUGCAAGUUAGAAGAGUCAUUCUUGAGGUACUACAACAAGUACAUCAUAGGGAGCAUCACAAUAAUGCCUUAGAGUCAUCGUACAAGAAGAUAAAGUUUAAAAAUGACCUAGAUGUUGUGAAGAUGAUUGUCGUAUAUUACACCGUGUUGGCAGUGAUGGGCAAAGAAAAGACAAGGGCCUAUGUUGACAUGAAGUUGUUUGGACAUGGAGAAUAUGGACAACUUCAAUAGUAUGUACUAGGGAAACAUUAUAUGGUAGAUGUUUCUCGAAAUACAAAGAGGCUUGGUUAGUAAGGCAGAGAAAUAUAAGAAGAAAGAAAAGUCGAGGAAGAAAUAUAUUGUCAAGAACAAUUUCUCAAGGUUUCCUCAUGCAUUUUAGGUAAUAAUAGCUACUAUCAUUCUUGAGUGUUAUUUUUUUCUAUUAUGUCGUACUAAUAGUAUUUUGCACUUGCUAUAGGUAUGGACAUACAAAAUCUUAUCAACUAUUGUUGGUAAGUGUGCAACCCGACUGAAUGCCAAUGCCAUUCCUCGAUUCUUAAGAUGAGAGUGUUCAUUUUAUUUACCAACUUAAACAAUGUUACGAGAUGUUUUCUAGUCCAAAGAGGCAUUUAGUAGAGUUUAAGUUUAAGCAUUUAGGCAGUAAAAGUUUAUCCAAUUAAUUGAAGUAACGAGCCAUAAUAUGUCCUUAUGUACAAUCGGUAAUCACUUGCGAACUGGUCAUGUCGAAGAAUGAAAAGUAGUAUAGAAACACUUCAAUUAAGGAAUUACUAAUUUUCGAAUAGACUGAAGUUGGGGCGACUUGAUCAGACUCGUACCAUAAUGGCGAUAAGGGUUAUUAAGAAUUAGAUGUUUGAAAGUUCCCCUUAAUCGACGAGUCGAUGUCCUCUAUUAUGAUGCCAUUGAGGGAUGCCACAUUGCCAGAGGAUACCCACGUUCGAAAGACACAUCAUCCACAAACUCAUUAGUCAAAACCUACGAGAGGAGUUGAUAUUGUGGUGUCUUUGUUGACCGGGUGUAGAAAGUCUAAAAUGUUAAGAACAAGUUGAGCGAUGUGCAAUCAUACUUAAUAGUCAUACAGUUUGACAUGCGAGAAAUGAAUCUUCUCAACAUUUACAUUUAACUCUGGUUUAGUAUGUGCGUACUCAUUAAGAAGAAAUUAGGCAUCAUCAUUAUUAUCUAUUACUGCCAUAAAAGAAUAAAAAUCCAACUUAUACUUCACAUGCCAAAUGACAUUGAACUUUGGUGCAUUAACUUUUGUGGCUUUAUGUACAAGUUCUCUUAGUGUAAAUUUGCUUAGGACUUGGACACCCUUCAAAUGAUCUUCAAUAUAACACUACUUCUCCUUAUCCAUGAAGGGAUAAAAGCCUAUGGUAGCGAAAGAUUUUACAAAACUAUUCCUAAAAUUAUGGCGUUGUGCAGAGCAUAACAUACAUUAAGCUGCCCACAACUAGGCAUAGGGAAUACGUCUCAUAUCCUCAACUUCUUGAGGUGUCUUAAGACACGGUUCCUUAGACAAGUAAAUGUCGUGCCUGAAAGGUAAUAAAUUCUUCUUAGAGUUUUGUAUCGCAUAUGGAAUAAACAUUUUGUCAAUAUAGGUUGCUUGAGGUAGUGCUAGCGUUUUGUUCUUACAAUUCCUUAUGAUUUGGAUCCCUAGAACAUAUUGUGCAUCUCCCAAAUCUUUCAUUUGGAAUUGAGCUGCUAGCCAAGUUUUAACGUCAGUUAGGUAUCCUACAUCAUUUCCAAUGAGAAGGAUAUCGUCCACAUAAAUUACUAAGAAAGUUGUUUUACCUUUGUUGAUUUUCUUGUAUACACAAGGUUCAUCAACGUUUUGGUCAAAACUGUAAGAUUUAAUCGCAGUAUCAAAUCUAAUGUUCCAAGAUCUAGAUGCUUGUUUCAACCCUUUAAUGAAUCGAUUCAGCUUGUAAACUUUUUGCUCUUGACCUUGGAUUAUGAACCCCUCGUGCUGAGACAUAAAGAUACUUUCUUCAAGAUUAUCAUUUAGAAAAUCAAUUUUGACCUCCAUUUGCUAUAUUUCAUAAUCAUAAAAAAUGGAUGUGGACAAGAAAAUCCUUAUAGACUUUAACAUAGCAACAAGGGAAAAAGUUUUCUUAUAAUCAAUCCCUUCCCUUUGGAUAUACCCUUUUGCUACAAGUGUAGCUUUGAAGGUCUGUACCUUUCCAGCUGAAUCUUUCUUUCUUUUAUAGAUCCAUUUGCACUCUAUAAGUUUCACCCUUUCAGGUAGAUCUAUAAGCUCCCACACUGAAUUGAUGUACAUAAACUCCAUUUCAAGGUCCAUGGCUUUGACCCAUUGGUUCUUGUCUACAUCAUUCAUUGUCUGUUUAUAGGACAAUGGAUUCCCAACACCAUCAUCUGGUAUGACAACAUGAGUUUAAGUUAAAUCCAAGUAACGGUUAGGUUGUGAUACAAUUCUUCCGUUGCAUCGAGGCAUUCUCAACGAUUGAGAAGGAUGAGACUGACCUUAUGUGUUUGUUUCAUCAACUCUUGAUAAGGGACCAGCUUCAUCAACAACCUUUGUUGAUUCAUCAGUAGCUUCACUUAAUACUAAUUUGCUUCGUGGUUUAUGAUCUCUCAUGUGGUCUUCUUCCAAGAAAAUAACAUUUGUGGAUAAAAUGCUCUGUUUUCUUGUGGAUCGAAGAAUAGACCACCUAUUGUUUCUUUAAGGUAACCAACAAAUUGGCAUAACCUUGAACAUUUUUCCAACUUUUUGGGAUUUGUCACUAAUACCCUCACUUGCAUGUCAACUACACAACGUGAUGGAUCAUUGCGUAAUCAAAUAUAAAAUAAGCUGUAUCCAUAGUGUUACCAGGAUAAGGUACCCAACCUUAUCCCUAUACCAUAGACCCUUUAGGAUAAGGUACCCAACCUUAUCCCUAUACCAUAGACCCUUUAAGUUGAUCUCGAACAUUUAUUUUUGUAUGUCUCUAAAUACUGUUCAAGACUCAUUAAACAACUUAAGAUAUUAGUUUAUUGGAUUUGGGUUAUUAAGACAAAACUAAUAAUAUAAUCAAUAACAAUUAUUAUUUAUUAACAACGGUCAAUAAAUUAUAUUUACAAUCUAUUAGUUUUAGGACAUAAAUCCCAGCAAUCCCAAGUGCCACUUAGUUCCAUAAAUAUAUUCUUCUUUUACAUCAUUCAAUUAAAAACAAAGAAAAUAAAUAAAACUAGACAAGAUAAAAAAAAUUAUUAAUUAGGAAAAGUCCUCUCUACUUGAUAGUCGCUACAUGCUACAAGAUAAUUGAUACCCGAUACAUGCUGUUAGAUACACAUCACACGAUUCUCUUUGUAUGCUUCACGUGACUCCUCAUAAUAGCAUUUUACUUGAUUCCUCGCUUCACGUUACUCCAUAUGCAUGUGACUCCUCAUAAUAGCAUUCUACUUGAUACUCGAUAUGUAUUGUACGUACUUUCUCAUAUAUACACAUGUAUACUUAAUUAUUUCGCAUAUAUAUACCUCAUAUUAUAGAAUUAUAAACAACUGUAAUAAUGUUCGAUAUAAGACCCGAUGUAUCAUGUAAUAGCCAUGAAUUGAAAGCUCUAGAAUCCAAAGUAAUAGCCAACUGACCAACAUAAUGAACAAUGAGAGCAAUGUGUUGCUCCACAUUUGAUGUUAUUAUGUGGUAAACCUAUUUAACAUUGUUAUCCUUGGUAAUAGGCAAGUCCUUUAGAUAUUCUAUAGGACCUAAGUAGAGAUAUAUAUCCAGAUUAUCAAUAUCAACAAAACUGCAUAACUUAGAUAGAAGACUAUUGUGUAACUCUUAAAAAGACAUAUGUUCAUAAACUAAAAAUUUUGAUACGCUAUAACUAAUAUAGUUGUCUGAAUCAUUGAAAAACUAUUAUAAUAUACUCCAAUGUUGAUCAUAUAUACCUAAUAAAAAAGAAAAUAAAUAUAUACAUCACUGUACAAUAUUAUGGUGUAUAACGAUCCAUGUAAAUUAAAAAACAGUUUCAAACAUUAUAAGGAAUUUUGAAAUUAAACUUUGAAUAUAUGAAAAACAUUGCAAAUUGGAUGUAAUAUAAUAAGUAUAAAUUUGAAAUACAUUACUCUCAAAUUCAACAAAAAUACUUACUAGAAAUGUAAGAAAAAAAAUUGAAAUACCUAGAAACAAAUAUGAUUAAGAUGAAACAAAUUUACUUCACCCAAAAACUUCACCAACAUACUAUAAUUUAUUUCACUAGAAAAACAUGAACGAGAUGAAACAAAUAUGUACUCAUUCGAAAACUUGAAGGAGAAGAAUGAAAUAAGAAAGAAUGAAUAGAGAGAGACUAUUUGGAUAGUUGGAGAGAAAUAUGCACUUACGGAAAAAAAUUCAUGGAAAAAAUAAAAAAUGGACAAAGAGAGGUGAUUUAGAAAUAUUAAAACGUUAAUUCACCAUAAGGAAAAGAAACGGGGAGAGAAAGAUAUUGAAAAUAUUAUCAUAAUUAUAUUCCAUAUAUACCAUAUUUACGUAGGAUCACUGAUAAAUGACUACAUCUACAUUAAAUAAAGUAAAUCUAUUAAAUAGUUAAUAGUAAAUAAAGUAAAUCUAUUAAAUAGUUAAUAGUAUAAAUAUGUACGUUUUAAUAUAAAUAAUAAAUGGAGUACAAAAUAUUUAUGACAAAAAAUUAUAUAAAUUUUUGUUUAUAUGUAAUAUUUUAAAUUAAUGAUAAGGUAAAAUCCAUCAAUAAAAUGAAUCAAAAUCUUAUUACUGACAUUUGUGUGAAAUUAUAGCCAAUUAGAUAUUUUCUCUAAUUUUUUUUCAUAACUAUAAUAUAUUAUGUUAGAUUAUUUUUUUUUCAUAUAACCCAAUGAUGACCAUUUCAACCCUAAGCCCUUAGAUAAUAUUAAAUGAUUUAUGUUCUUACAAGAGUUAUUUCAAAUUUUCUUUUUAGUUGAAUGACAUUUGUUAUUUGGAUAGAAAAGAGUAAUGAUUUCCAUUUCAUAUUAAUAGUAUAUUAUUGAGUUAUUUUUAAAAAUAGUAAAAUAAAAAUUAAAAUAUUUACAAGCUAUAACAAAAAAUAUUGUUAUAGAUUUUAGAUAAAAUUUUCAUAAAUUAUUUUCAAACUACAAUCAUACUUUUGAAAGUUGGGGAAUUUAGCCUGCUAUUUACCUCAUACUAGUGAAUCGAAAACUCGCCCCCACGGUAAAAAAAAAAGUGAAAAAGGAAAUGUCUCAAGUCACGUUGUAGUGGCUCACGUUCCGGCGAUUUCUCUCCAAAACCCCAACCCCAGCCCGCCGGUCAGGCCACCAAGGGCGUCCUUAUGGCGCUCGGUCAGUGGAUCGACGGCGAUGAGAGCGCCUCGGAGAUGCUUGGCAGAGUUCUCAAAGAGCGAACCUCCUUGGUUGUUCCGCCUCUCCACAGAGUUCCUCUCCGUGUUGGCAAUGUGGUCGAACUUGUUGGACCUUCUGGUUCUGCCAAAACGCAAAUCUUAAUCCAGGUCCAAUUAUCAAGUUCAAUCUGUCCAUUUGAACUUCUUGCAUGAUUUAUAUCUCAUAUACCAAUCGAAAAGUGAUGGUGAUUUACCUCGAAAGCAUUUGAGAACAAGUUAUGUUCCAUUAAAAGUUGAUCGCUUCUGUCUUACCAAGAAAAGUAGACUGCUUCUGUGAGCAGGCUGCAGUUAAUUGCAUUCUUCCCAAGGAGUGGAGUGGGAUCCACUACGGAGGCUUGGGAUGCCCUGCAGUGUUCAUUGACUUGGAUUGUCGUCUUGACAUCACAAGGCUGCUCCAAGUUCUGAAGCUUCGAAUUGUGGAAGCCACUAGCAAUGGUGAGCUAUUCAUGCCAUUUAGUAUUAGUAAAAUGUUAACUUCAAGGUUAUAUUUCACGAGCUGCGAUUCUGAUUAACGAUAUCUCAUAACGUCUUGUGGUAUAUCUAGGAUUUGUUGCG
rnacentral:lncRNA from 1 species